rnacentral:tRNA from 1 species
CGACUAAUAAAUAUAGCCGUCUUAGCUCAGCUGGUAGAGCGCGUGGCUUUUAACCACGUGGUCGUGGGUUCGAUUCCCCACAGACGGCGA